GGAUGUGAGGGCAAUCCGGCUAUGACAUUUGCACCUCACUGACCAUCAGGGUUGAUUCGGCUGCUCUGGCUGGCUAGGUGAGUAUCCUCUUCCUUCCCACUGCUUUCUGCACGUUCCUCCUGAGUCUGCGUGCUAGGUCUAAGAGGAUGACCAUCUUUUUUUUGAGACAGAGUUUCAUUCUUGUUGCCCAGGCUGGAGUGCAAUGGUGCGAUCUCGGCUCACUGCUCCCCUUUUGCCUUUAAAAACCUACUUGUAACAAAGACCAAAUAG
rnacentral:sRNA from 1 species